rnacentral:rRNA from 1 species
UACGGGGGGGGGCAAGCGUUGUUCGGAAUUACUGGGCGUAAAGGGCGCGUAGGCGGCCAACUAAGUCAGACGUGAAAUCCCCAGGCUUAACCUGGGAACUGCGUCUGAUACUGGAUGGCUUGAAUUCGGGAGAGGGAUGCAGAAUUCCAGGUGUAGCGGUGAAAUGCGUAGAUAUCUGGAGGAAUACCGGUGGCGAAGGCGGCAUCCUGGACCGACAUUGACGCUGAUGAGCGAAAGCUAGGGGAGCAAACGGG